rnacentral:SRP_RNA from 1 species
GCCGGGUAUGGUGGCACGUGCCUGUAAUCCCAGCUACUCAGGAGGCUGAGGCAGGAGAAUCACUGGAACCCGGGAGGUGGAGGUUGCAGUGAGCUGAGAUCGCACCACUGCACUCUAUCCUGGGUGACACAGCGAGACUCUGUCUCAA